rnacentral:rRNA from 1 species
UACGAAGGGGGCUAGCGUUGCUCGGAAUCACUGGGCGUAAAGGGUGCGUAGGCGGAUCUUUAAGUCAGGGGUGAAAUCCUGGAGCUCAACUCCAGAACUGCCUUUGAUACUGAGGAUCUCGAGUUCGGGAGAGGUGAGUGGAACUGCGAGUGUAGAGGUGAAAUUCGUAGAUAUUCGCAAGAACACCAGUGGCGAAGGCGGCUCACUGGCCCGGUACUGACGCUGAGGUGCGAAAGCGUGGGGAGCAAACAGG